rnacentral:lncRNA from 1 species
AGGGGGUGAAGGGUAUAUCAUAAUUUUCUUACCCUUAUUCAUGAAUGUACAAGAAUUGGAUCGACCAUAGAGUGUUGCAUCUUGAUCGAACAACCAAGGCCUUCCUAGGAUUAUGCUUCCUACAUCCAUGGGCAUAACAUCACACCACACUUUCUCUUGGUAAGACUGAAAUUUAAUAGGGACCAGACAAUGGUGCCUAAU